AUGCUUGCUUCCAUAAUACCUGAUCUUUAUAAGAAUGUUUUAAGGAUCAAGAUUGCUAAGAGUGUAAUCUGGAAGAAUGGAAAGGGAAUACUGAAAAAUAAAAUUGCAAAAGUUUAUGGCAGAAAAGAAAAAACUGGAAAAGUUCGGCUCAGCAAAGCGCGCCUAACCCUUCUAGUUGAUUACUACAACACAAACUUCACUAAUGGUGCUGAUACCUCCCGACUUUGCCUGACCUACGAUGAGUUUGUGAAGAGGUGUUCUGACCUUGAGAAGGUCACUCUGAGCGAUAUAUUCGCCCUUCAGCUUAUGCAGGUGCCAGAAGUGACGGAAGAAGCUGCUCUUGCUGUCACGAGUCUCUACCCCACUCUUCUCUCGCUUCCUAAGGCAUACACCAUGCUUGAUGGCGAUACGCGUGCCCAGGAGGAGAUGCUGAAGAACAAGAGCGUCAUGGUCAACGUGGGGGCUAGCAAGAAAAUCAUCAAGCUCAUCUGGGCGGAAGGAUGA
rnacentral:rRNA from 1 species